UACGGGGGGGGCAAGCGUUGUUCGGAAUUACUGGGCGUAAAGGGCUCGUAGGCGGCCAACUAAGUCAGACGUGAAAUCCCUCGGCUUAACCGGGGAACUGCGUCUGAUACUGGAUGGCUGGAGGUUGGGAGAGGGAUGCGGAAUUCCAGGUGUAGCGGUGAAAUGCGUAGAUAUCGAGAGGAACACCUGCGGCGAAGGCGGGUUGCUGGGCUGACACUGACGCUGAGGCGCGAAAGCUAGGGGAGCGAACGGG
rnacentral:rRNA from 1 species